rnacentral:rRNA from 1 species
AACCAGCACCUCAAGUGGUCAGGAGGAUUAUUGGGCCUAAAGCAUCCGUAGCCGGCUCUGUAAGUUUUCGGUUAAAUCCAUGUGCUCAACGCAUGGGCUGCCGAAAAUACUGCAUAGCUAGGGAGUGGGAGAGGUAGACGGUACUCGGUAGGAAGGGGUAAAAUCCUUUGAUCUAUCGAUGACCACCUGUGGCGAAGGCGGUCUACGAGAACACGUCCGACGGUCAGGGACGAAGCCUAGGGGCACGAACCGG